GGUUAUUAUGUCUCCACUAAUGAGCAGAGAGGAAGUAAAUCUUACAAAGUAAGUUAUGUGAUCAAGGUAUAGUGUAUUAAUUGGAGUUCUAGUUCAUUUACUUUGAGAAAAUUAGAGUGUUUAAAGCAGCCUCUUGGGGCACUGAAUACAUUAGCAUGGGAUAAUAAAAUAGGAUCUUCACAAUAUAUUUUAUUGGUUUAAAUUGCGUAUGAAGAUAAUGAUUAAUAGGGACAGUUGGGGGUAUUCAUAUUGGGUGGUUAGCGGUGAAAUGCUCGGAUCCAUUCAAGAUGAACUAAAGCGAAAGCAUUUACCAAGGAUGUUUUCAUUAAUCAAGAACGAAAGUUAAGGGAUCGAAGACGAUUAGAUACCGUCGUAGUCUUAACUAUAAACUAUGCCGACCAGGGAUAUGAGUUGUUAGGAAUAUAUGAAAAUAUAUUCAAUUUCUUCUUAUGGACCUUGUGAGAAAUCAUAAGUUUUUGGGUUCUGGGG
rnacentral:rRNA from 1 species